rnacentral:rRNA from 1 species
GUACGUGAAACCGUUCAGGGGUUAAGCGGGAGAAAUCCUGAAUUCGAAUGGGAUGGAUUCACCUCUGCCUCGCAAAGGCCAUGUCCUGCCGGUGUCUGCGGCCGCCCACAGUGAUUAACUUCUCUCGUGGUGUCGUAACCGUAAGGCAUUCGGUCGGGGUGUGUUGCUCUAGCCUUGGUAUGACGCGCACUUCCUCCCUUGUCGAAGCGUCGGACCCGUUGGGAGUCGGUCUAAGGCCCGGGAAGGCAGACCACGUGUCCUGUCACAUUGGUGCGUGCAGGCUCGUGGACUCCUGGUGUCCUGGCCGACGCCCGACGGUAAUAUAGAGGAGUCAGUCCGCUGUUACUGUGAAUAUUACACUUAUUUGGGCGUAGUGUAGCGUCCGGGCCGGCCGCCCGCGCGUUGUCAGAGCAGGAACACCAGUGGUGUCCGGAUAGUCGGAACUGGUCCUGGCACGCGUCGGGAUGUCGGGAUCCUCGGACUGGAUUUGUUCUCCUGUCACGACGAGCUCAUUCGGAUAC